GACAAUCUUAAUUGUUUACCAACUGACUGGUUUUUCUUUCUCCUAAGGUAAGCACAUGCUAUAUUAAAUUCGACCCUUACUGCUCUGUCAUUUUCGAUAGACUACGACAAAUGUAAGGGAACAGACAGGGUCUGUAGACAUCAGCUGAACGGCGCCAACACCACAGAUGGAAGCCAUGACGACGCGGUGAUGGGGUAGGAUUUCCCCCACCCCCAACCCCAAGCUUUAAUCGUCUGCAGCAAAUGCCAAGGCCUCCUCUGCGUCGGGCCCUGUCCUUGGGGUCCCGAAGUGGAGGACGUGGAUCAAGCAGAUGAAGACGGAUCCUGGAGAGACAACCCAAGGCCGAAGGCCGACAGACUGUUCAAGUCAAUGUGCCAGGAAAAGACCACGGAGAUGGGAGCCUGGCUGGCUCAGACAAGAGAACAGGCAGCUCUUGAUUCCAGGAUCGAGAGUUCAAGCCCAAUGUUGGGCGUAGACUACU